GAAAACGGCCCUAAGAGUAACAGCGUUACACUUUUGAGCUUUUUUGGAGUUUUUAUUAUUUUAAAGUUGGGUACAAAUAACUUAACUUUGGAUUCGCGUUUUCCAUUUGCACAUGUAAAUUGGCUAUCUUCGCUUGGCUAGUUUCACUAAAAGUUUAGUGAUAGUGAGUUUUUUCUAACUAUCACCAAAGUUUUAGUGAUAAUGCAAUUUUUUUAUGCACACUAGGGUG